rnacentral:rRNA from 1 species
GACGAACGCUGGCGGCGUGCUUAACACAUGCAAGUCGAACGGUGAAGCUCCAGCUUGCUGGAGUGGAUCAGUGGCGAACGGGUGAGUAACACGUGAGCAACCUGCCCCUGACUCUGGAAUAAGCGCUGGAAACGGCGUCUAAUACUGGAUACGAGAAGGGUCCGCAUGGGCACUUUCUGGAAAGUUUUUCGGUUGGGGAUGGGCUCGCGGCCUAUCAGCUUGUUGGUGAGGUAAUGGCUCACCAAGGCGACGACGGGUAGCCGGCCUGAGAGGGCGACCGGCGACACGGGGACUGAGACACGGCCCAGACUCCUACGGGAGGCAGCAGUGGAGAAUAUUGCACAAUGGGCGAAAGCCUGAUGCAGCGACGCCGCGUGAGGAAUGACGGCCUUCGGGUUGUAAACCUCUUUCAGCGGGGAAGAAGCGAAAGUGACGGUACCUGCAGAGAAAGCACCGGCUAACUACGUG